GCUGUAGCAGCCAACAUCGCUUACUAAAUUUAUCUUGAUGCGUAUAUCAUUCUAAAAACGUUUAAAGAACAUUUUAAUAUCAUACCAAAAAGUUUAAGCAUUUAACAAGUGAAUAGAAAACAUAUUACUGUAUAUUAGUGACAUUUGCGUAUAUGUAAGUAAUACUCCACAAAGCCAAUAGAUUGCCGUACAUACAAAACCCCAAGAGGUUGAGAAUGGAUUGGAGGCAGGCGGAAAUUUUCGACUUGAUAUCCAUGUACAGAGAGUCUGAGUGCCUAUGGAACUGCCUAAAUCGUGAAUAUAAAGACGUGGACUUGAAAAAAAAUGCAUGGAGGGAAAUCGCUACUUUCUUCGGAAGAAAAGUGGAGGACGUAAAGAAGAAAAUAAAAAAUUUGCGCACUAGUUACGUUAUAGAGAAAAAGAAAGUCGAAAGAAAGAGGACCGAAUCGGGAGAAACUGUGUAUGAGCCCCGUUUAUUCUACUAUGAUGAAAUGACCUUUUUGGACCCUGUCGUAAUUUUACGAUUUUUUAAUCCUACAGAACAAAAUGCAGAUCCUUUAACUGAAAUGAAAAAACAGCGUUCUUCAAAAGUAAGACAUAUGAUUGAUGAAAAGAAAAAGCGCAAACUAUUCAGUAAUUCUCAGACGGAGCGAUCACAUUCGGAGUUUUCUCCUAUAAAGAGACUGCGUGAUAUAAGCGAUGUACAUUUAGAUAAUGAACUACAAGACGAAUUAGAAGAGGAAAAGCUUUUAAGUAAAGAAGAUACUUUUUGUGCAAUGCUUUGCAGUGAACUUAAAUCCCUUAAAUCAAAAGACAUAUAUGACAAUGUGACAUUCGAAAUUUUUACUAUCCUAAGGAAUGCUAAAAUGGCAGAACGUCAAGAAAUAUACCAACCCGAAGAGAUUACCAAAGUAGCUAGUAUAAAGAUGUGAAGGUACGGCUUCUUCACAACAAAAGUAGCGCCCACGUAUCGGAAGAAGGAAUUUUUAAAGAGCAUUUGAGAAAUAUGCCAUUACCACACCUAUAAUAAUAAUUUUAAAGCAAUUGUGGCUGAUGAAUAUAAUGAUAAAAAAUUUUUAUAUACCGUCACUUAUAAUUCCUAAAAGUCUUGCAUUGUUCGUGUUACUCUAUUUACUACUAAAUUCACUCUGUUUUGUAGUUAUGAAGUUAAAGCUCUUUUAAUUUUUACCAAAUAGUAAAUGCGUUACGAUAUAGAAGUUGUAUUAAGUGCGACAACUAAUUAGAAACAGUUGUUUAAGGAAUUAAAAUUUCUUAAUGUGUUAA
rnacentral:misc_RNA from 1 species